rnacentral:rRNA from 1 species
GUCAAGUAAUUAAGUGCAUGUGGUGGAUGCCUUGGCAGUCAGAGGCGAUGAAAGACGUGAUAGCCUGCGAAAAGCUCCGGGGAGGCGGCAAAUAUCCUUUGAUCCGGAGAUGUCUGAAUGGGGGAACCCACCUACUUUAAGGUAGGUAUUGCAACAUGAAUACAUAGUGUUGCAAGGCGAACGAGGGGAAGUGAAACAUCUCAGUACCCUUAGGAAAAGAAAUCAAUUGAGAUUCCCUCAGUAGCGGCGAGCGAACGGGGAUCAGCCCAUUAAGUUAUGUGUGUUUUAGUGGAACGCUCUGGGAAGUGCGAACGUAGAGGGUGAUAUUCCCGUACACGAAAGGGCACACAUAAUGAUGACGAGUAGGGCGAGGCACGUGAAACCUUGUCUGAAUAUGGGGGGACCAUCCUCCAAGGCUAAAUACUCCUGACUGACCGAUAGUGAACCAGUACCGUGAGGGAAAGGCGAAAAGAACCCCUGUGAGGGGAGUGAAAUAGAUCCUGAAACCGCAUGCAUACAAGCAGUGGGAGCACCUUCGUGGUGUGACUGCGUACCUUUUGUAUAAUGGGU